UUAACUGAUGAUAACCUAUAACAACAACAAUGAAUUUCUUCAACCAGAACAAAAUCAUGUGGAUAAAAAUUUGACAGCUUUUUAACCCUGAAC
rnacentral:snoRNA from 1 species